AUCUCUCAAUGCUCUUCAUUAUUUUUGAAGUCAUUGGACUUGAAUGUUGCUGUGUUUAUAUAUAUGGCAUGGCUCAUUUGAAAUGUAUUAGCGGUCCACUUGGGUGGGUGCAUGUGAUCAUAAUCAUUGUCUUAUUGUCACUGUUACUCAGUAGUGGGGGAUGGCUUCUAACAACCUACCCUUAUGUC
rnacentral:misc_RNA from 1 species